GAACCAAUAGAAAACUGUUAAAUGUAUAACUUAAAAUGUUAACCAAUUGUAAUGCUGUAACCUAGAGAAAUCCCUUGUUCCUCUGUAACCUUACAAGUCCUGUUUACAUCGGGCUAUAAAAAGCAAGUGCACGCAUUGUUUGGGGCCCUCUUGCAAGCUGUGAAGCGGAGGGACCAAGUUCGAACUUGCAGUAAAGAUCCUUGCCGCUUGGCUUUGACUCUGGACUCUGGUGGUCUUCUUUGGGGAAUAAACGGUCUGGGCAUAACAUCUGGGGGCUGGUCUGGGAUUCCCCAAGCCCACCAGACCCCUGGUCAACGGAUCUACUAGGAUCGAUCUGCUGAUAGGUGAGCCGGCUCAUCUCUGUUUGUCUGUCUGUGUCUGUUCUGAACCCGUAUCUGUGACUCGCGAGGUCUGAAACUGAAGCUGAUGCAGUCCUGGCAGACACGCUAUAGGACAGCCAGCGGAGACCAGUGGGAGACGUCCCCUGGCUCUUGUCUGAUCUAGAUUUUUAUCUGAACUGAUUCUGACCUGGGCUGCCGGAGCACGCUUGUGGCUAGAUAUUAUUAAUAUGCCAGAUUUCCUUUACAGGAAUUCUAACCCAUAUUCUUUUACAGGAAGAGACUAUAAAUUAUCACAGGAUGGGUAAUACCCAGAGCACUCCCCUAUCUCUCCUUACAAGUAAUUUCAAGGAUGUUAGAGCAAGGGGCCAUGAUCUUAGUAUGGAGAUCAGGAAGGGAAAGCUAAUUACUCUAUGCCACUCUGAAUGGCCUGCCUUUAAUGUAGGGUGGCCACCCGAAGAGACAUUCCACCUUCCUGUCAUCACUAGAGUCAAGUCCAAGGUUUUCCUACCAGGGCGUGCUGGCCACCCGGAUCAUAUCCCAUAUAUCCUCAUAUGGCAGGACCUAGCUGAGAACCCGCCCCCUUGGCUGCCCCCUUUCCAAUUAGACCCUGAACACUGUAAGGCACUGGUUGCUCGGCCGCUAAAAUCCAAGCAACCGACUGCCCCCCCAUCCUGUUCUACCUGAUAGUGGGGACCCACUGUCCACAGGACCCCCUCCGUAUCCCUCCGGACCCCAGGCCCCAGCCCCCUGGGCUGAGCCGCAGGAGGGAGCAGGCGGACGGGAGGCGGCCGGCGCACCCGGACCGCUGAAAGUGAAAGUAACUCUGAAGGGCCGGCGGGGCGGACGCGAGGGCGCACUUUGCGGGCUAGCCCCCCCAGCCGCCUGACUCCACAGUGGCUCUACCCCUUCGGGAAAUAGGACCCCCAGAUGACACGGGAAUUCCCAGACUCCAGUACUGGCCAUUCUCCACCAGUGAUCUGUAUAACUGGAAGACUCAGAGUGCCUGGUUUUCAGACAAUGCCAAAGAUUUAAUGGCUUUACUGGAUAGUGUCAUGUUCACCCACCAGCCCACUUGGGAUGAUUGUCAGCAGCUCCUCCGAAUCUUGUUCACAACGGAGGAGCAAGAGAGAAUACAGGUAGAAGCUAGAAAGCUGCUCCCGGGGGACGACAGUCAACUGACUGCCAACCCCGACCUCAUAAACGCGACUUUUCCUCUGACCAGGCCAGCGUGGGACUACAACACAGCAGAAGGUAGGGGACGGCUACACCUUUAUCACCAGACUCUAAUGGCGGGUCUCCGGGCAGCUGCUCGCAAGCCCACUAAUUUGGCUCAAGUAUACUCUGUUCUGCAGGGAAAGACAGAAAGCCCAGCUACCUACUUAGAAAGAUUAAUGGAAGCUUUUAGACAGUACACCUCCAUAGACCCAGAGGCCCCAGGGAGUCAGGCAGCUGUUGUAAUGUCUUUUGUAAAUCAGGCAGCCCCAGACAUUAAAAAGAAACUCCAGAAAUUAGAAGACUUAGAGGGAAAACAGCCUCAGGACCUUCUUCAGAUAGCCCAGCGAGUUUACAAUAAUAGAGAUACUCCAGAGGAAAAGCAAUUUAAGGCCACAAUCCACCUGACAAGUAAGGGAAUUCCUGGGGUCGGCAGGAUUUUGUAGACUAUGGAUACCUGGGUUUGCAGAGCUGGCUAAACCCUUAUAUCAGGCAACACGGGGACAGCAGCCAUUUAAUUGGACAGAAGAAGCUGAGUUGGCUUUCCAACAGAUCAAAACCGCCCUACUCUCUGCACCUGCACUGGGACUACCUGACGUCACUAAGCCCUUCCACUUAUAUGUGGAUGAGAGCAAGGGUGUCGCCAAGGCGGUGCUAACUCAGAACUUAGGCCCCUGGCAGAGGCCAGUUAGUUGCCUACCUGUCAAAGAAAUUAGACCCAGUGGCUGCCGGGUGGCCCCCUUGUCUCCGAAUGAUUGCAGCCACGGCCCUGAUGGUACAAGAUGCUGACAAACUUGUCAUGGGUCAAGAAUUACGGGUCAGUACCCCACAUGCCAUCGAGGGUGUACUCAAACAGCCACCUAAUCGAUGGAUAAGUAAUGCCCGGCUCACCCACUACCAAGGACUACUACUAAACCCUCUCAGGAUAACUUUUCUACCCCCAACAACCUUAAACCCUGCCUCGCUGCUGCCCAACCCGGACCUGGACGCCCUGCUCCAUGAUUGCACCGAGAUACUAACUCAGGUGCACGGAGUUCGAGAGGACCUGCAGGACCGGCAACUUCCUGAUGCAGACCUCGUCUGGUUCACUGACGGGAGCAGCUUCAUACACCAAGGCCAGAGGUACGCUGGAGCAGCAGCGACUUCAGAGACUGAGAUACUUUUUCAGGGUGGAUUGAAGCAUUCCCGACCAAAAGGGAGACUGCUCAGGUUGUAGCAAAGAAAAUUCUGGAAGAUAUCCUCCCCAGGUAUGGCUUCCCCGUCCAGAUAGGGUCAGAUAAUGGGCCGGCCUUCGUUGCUAAGCCUUGCAGAAAAUUCAUCAGGAAAUCUGGCCCAAGCUGAAAGAACUAUAUGAGACCGGUCCCCCACCAACACCCCAUCCGUACCAGCCGGGAGACUGGGUCCUGGUUAAGCGACACCGACAAGAGACCUUAGAACCCAGGUGGAAGGGACCACUCCAGGUACUCCUAACCACACCCACCACCCUGAAGGUAGAAGGCAUCGCGUCGUGGAUCCACUACACCCACGUCAAACCAGUAGACCCGACCUCCGACCUUCUUGGACCAAUCACGGCAGCGACUGA